CUGUGGACAAUCCCAUUGCACUAGCAUUUCUAGAGAGGGAGGGAGAGAGAGAGAGAGAGAGAGAGUGGAAGAGUGUGGUGUGAGAAAACCUGGAAGCACUUUUUUAUCCAUCACUUCUCAGUUUCUUUGCUCUGCAAACAAUCUUCCGACCACGUGAGUGCUGCUGCUUCUGUUUUUCUUAUCCCCUGCGGUAGGCUUCAGGGCAGCGAAUGUGAGGCUGAGAUCUGAGCUUCUACGGACGACGCUCGUUUUGGAUCUUUGGACGACAAUGGGGAGUGUGUCGUCGGAGGACGGCUCGGACCAGCAGAGCGAGCGAUGCGGGAGCUACAGCUUAAGCGCCGACGUGAGCGAGUCGGAGAGUUGUAGCAGCUUCUCGUGCCGGAGGUUCGAUGCGGAGGGGGCUUCGAGCUCCAUGACGUCGUCGCCGCGACCGGGCGGCGGAAAUUUCUUCUUUCAGGCGCCGGUGAUGCUUCCGGUGAUCGGAGGAAAGGAUGUGGUGGCUUGGGAUGAGAAGCCGGAGAAACGAAAUGCUGAUUUGUCUGAAGUGGAGAUGAUGAAGGAGAGGUUUGCCAAGCUUCUGCUUGGAGAAGACAUGUCAGGAGGAGGAAAAGGAGUCUGCACUGCCCUUGCUAUCUCAAAUGCCAUCACCAAUCUCUCUGCGACGGUGUUUGGCGAAUUAUGGAGGUUAGAGCCGCUGAAAGCACAGAGAAAGGCAAUGUGGCGCCGGGAAAUGGACUGGCUGUUAUGUGUGAGUGAUUCAAUUGUUGAGCUUGUGCCUUCGAUACAACAGUUUCCGGGUGGGGGGACAUACGAAGUCAUGGAAAUGCGGCCGCGCUCUGACUUGUAUGUGAAUCUACCUGCCAUUAAGAAGCUUGACGCAAUGCUGCUUGGUAUGCUAGAUGGGUUUUGUGAGACAGAGUUCUGCUAUGUUGACAGGGGGAUUAUUUUGGGGGAUUCGAAAGAGGGUGAGGGGUUUAUUGGUGGAAGGCCUUCAAUUAGGCAAGAAGAGAAGUGGUGGCUGCCUUAUCCUAAAGUUCCGCCAAAUGGGUUGUCCUUUGAAACAAGGAAGAAAUUGCAGCAGUGUAGGGACUGCUGCAACCAGAUAUUGAAGGCAGCCAUGGCGAUUAAUAGUAGUGUGCUUGCUGAGAUGGAAAUCCCAAGAGCGUACAUGGAGUCGUUGCCCAAGAAGGGGAAAGAUUGUAUGGGCGAUAUCAUUUAUCGUUACAUAGCUGCAGACCAAUUUUCACCAGAGCAUCUUCUGGAUUGCCUGGACUUGUCCUCAGAACAUCAAACUCUAGAGAUAGCCAAUAGAAUUGAGGCAGCUGUGCAUGUUUGGGCGCAGAAAGACCAGAAUAAACACAAUAAUCAUAAAGCUAAACGGGCAUCCUGGGGUGGCAAGGUCAAGGGACUUGUUUCCGAUACUGACAAGAGCCAUUUUCUGGCCCAACGAGCAGAGACGCUCUUACACAGCCUAAGGCAUCGUUUCCCUGGCCUCCCGCAAACUUCACUAGAUAUGAACAAAAUACAAUAUAACAAGGACGUGGGGCAGUCAAUUCUGGAAAGCUACUCAAGAGUUAUGGAGAGUCUGGCCUUUAACGUAAUGGCAAGGAUAGAUGAUGUCCUCUUCGUUGACGAUGCUACCAAGCGAUGUGCUGCUGCGGAAUCAGUGUCUAUCUUCAGCAGGGGAGGUUUGAGUGGCCUUCCUGUCCAGAAGCGGAUGUCACCGAGCCCCUUCUCCAUUCAACACACUCCUUAUGCGUCUCCACUUGCAACACCGGCGUUCUGUUCCUCCACCCCAGUUAUUGGAAGUCCAGGAAGGACACCUCUGUGUGUAAAGCGCAACGUUAUAAUAGAUGACAAGUCAGAGAGAUUACUCACAGCUGAUUUUGAGAGGGUGUGGUCGUACGCCGGAAGCCUAAGCUCAAGAAGAACAACCGGGGAUGCUCCUGAACGGGAUUGACUAAGUUAACUUUAGGUCAGUUUAAGGUUAAGUAGGUUCAUAUUACAAAAAGAAGUUGCAGAGAUGGGUCUAAAGCCUAACGCCGGGGUGCUGUUGAGAUCCAAUGUUGUAUAUUCUUUAUUAGCAAUAGAAGUAGGUUGUUUCUCUAUAGUUUUGAACCUGAUCAGGUAGUAGAUGAAGGAAAAUGACAAUUUUAGUUUAAAGUUGGUUAUAAAUUUUCGGCGUUCUGCAUGGCGCUUGUAGCUUAAGUAGUUAAAAAUCUAUCCAUGUACUGUGAAGUAAAUGUUCAAUUUCCCCCUCCCCUAAUAUCUUUUAUAUCGAAAA